rnacentral:rRNA from 1 species
AACGAACGCUGGCGGCAUGCCUAACACAUGCAAGUCGAACGAGACCUUCGGGUCUAGUGGCGCACGGGUGCGUAACGCGUGGGAACCUGCCCUUAGGUUCGGAAUAACUCCCCGAAAGGGGUGCUAAUACCGGAUAAUGUCUUCGGACCAAAGAUUUAUAGCCUUUGGAUGGGCCCGCGUUGGAUUAGCUAGUUGGUAGGGUAAAAGCCUACCAAGGCGACGAUCCAUAGCUGGUCUGAGAGGAUGAUCAGCCACACUGGGACUGAGACACGGCCCAGACUCCUACGGGAGGCAGCAGUGGGGAAUAUUGGACAAUGGGCGAAAGCCUGAUCCAGCAAUGCCGCGUGAGUGAUGAAGGCCUUAGGGUUGUAAAGCUCUUUUACCCGGGAUGAUAAUGACAGUACCGGGAGAAUAAGCGCCGGCUAACUCCGUG